GUUUUUUCUUCCUUUCUGGUGUGGUUGUGCAGAGAAGCGGGUGUUGCAGUUUAGUGUCCUGCGUACGCUACAUGUGGAACAGAAAUGAGCCGUUUCGGGCCUUUAGUAAGCUGGCGCUGUUUACUGAACAAGGCGCAUGGUUACCAAUACCUCAGAGGAUUGGCGGCCUACACUUAUACUGAACACAUUCGCAUUCACUGAAGUGAGAUACUUGGAGUGUGGAAGAUGGCUUAUGUCUUGUGAUGUACAGCUUAGCAAGCCGUAGUCCAUGUGUGUGAGCGUCUAGAGUUCAGAGGUGGUGAACCAGUGACCAUAUAACAGAGGAGAGAAAGAAGUCAUGAGUAGCAGAACUAUACAGUCUCAUUUUCAGUUUCGUCAUAAAUCUAAGAUGUCUUUUCUGGAAACCAAGAUUUUUCAAAAAUUGGUGGCGUUUUAAAAGCUUUUGUAUUUUGAGUCUGUUUACAAAUUAAUUCAAAUAAACACUUAAAGUAUGUUCUUUUGGAAUGCAUUUUCAGAUCA